rnacentral:rRNA from 1 species
AUUGAACGCUGGCGGAAGGAAGAAGAUAGGAAAGUAGAGCGGAUGAAGGGAUCUUGAUUUUGGAUUUAGAGGAGGACUGGUGAGUAAUGUGUAGUCAUAUGGAUGGUAGUGGGUUAUAACGUCCGUAAAAGGGAGCUAAUACCUCAUACGUCCUUCUGUCGAAAGUGGGGGAUCUUGGGACCUCACGCUAUCAUAUGAGCCUAUGUCGGAUUAUCUAGUUGGUGGGGUAAAGGCCUACCAAGGCGACGAUCCGUAACUGGUAUGAGAGGGUGAUCAUUCACACUGGAACUGAGACACGGUCAAGAAUCCUACGGGAGGAAGCAGUGGGGAAUAUUGGACAAUGUGCGAAAGCCUGAUCCAGCCAUGCCGCGUGUGUGAAGAAGGGAUUCGGAUUAUAACUCCCUUUCAUUUUGGAUGAAGGGCAGUAAGUUAAUACCUUGCUGUUUUGACGUUACCAACAGAAUAAGCACCAACUCACUUCGUU